rnacentral:lncRNA from 1 species
GAGGAACUGCCCGGGCGCGGUAGCGUACGGGAAGACCGGAGAGGAGCUGCGUCUCUGCCCCGUGGGAGCCGGCGGGGCGGCGGGGCGGCGGCUGCAGCUGCAGCUCCGGCGCGAGGGCUCCCUUGCCGGGCCCUCUUCCCCGACCCCUGGGGCGCUCCGACAAGGAAGAGCCGUCCAGCGCGCGUCCGUCCUGAGCGUGGGCCUAGAACCAAUUACAGAGUCAAACCCAAGAGCCGAAGAAAGUGAAGACUCGCAGCUUGCCGCAGCCCCCUCCUCGGCCUGCGCACCUCCCAUUGAGGGCGUCCUGAUUUAAACGCGUGCCUCCUGCAUUUCUGCUUCUGCCCCAGGCUAGAGCGGCGACCAGGAACGCUGGACCCACAGAGAUCUGUGGCAAUGUCUGUCGAACCAUGGUGUUCUUUGGGGCAUCUGACUAGAGUAUUGUUUGAUAACCAGAAAGAAAUCAAAAAUUGGUGAUCACAA